UACGUAGGGACCGAGCGUUGUCCGGAAUCAUUGGGCGUAAAGAGCGUGUAGGCGGCCACUUAAGUCCUGCGUGAAAUCUUGCGGCUCAACCGCAAGCGGUCGUGGGAAACUGGGUGGCUAGAGUGCGGGAGAGGAGAGUGGAAUUCCUGGUGUAGCGGUGAAAUGCGUUGAUAUCAUCAGGAACACCGGUGGCGAAAGCGGCUUACUGGGUCUCUUCUGACGCUGAGAAACGAAAAGCUAGGGGGAGCGAAGGGG
rnacentral:rRNA from 1 species